rnacentral:tRNA from 1 species
GGAGGUUAUAUUCAGUGGUAGAGCACAUGCUUAGCAUGCACAAGGUCCUGGGUUCAAUCCCCAGUACCUCCA